rnacentral:rRNA from 1 species
GACGGAGGAUGCAAGCGUUAUCCGGAAUGAUUGGGCGUAAAGCGUCCGCAGGUGGCAGUUCAAGUCUGCUGUCAAAGACCGGGGCUUAACUUCGGAAAGGCAGUGGAAACUGAACAGCUAGAGUAUGGUAGGGGCAGAGGGAAUUCCUGGUGUAGCGGUGAAAUGCGUAGAGAUCAGGAAGAACAUCGGUGGCGAAGGCGCUCUGCUGGACCAUAACUGACACUGAGGGACGAAAGCUAGGGGAGCGAAUGGG